GCUGCAGCUAGGGGGAGCUCCAGAGCACAGCUCCUCCCGGGCCCUUAGUAAGCCAGCCGAGGGAAGCUCAGAACUCUCUGCUCCUCCAUGCUCUGGAUGAUAGCCAAAGACAGCUGAAUCCCGCCCUGCCAGUUUUUGUGCGCCCUGCCGCCCCGCCGUUUGCUGCCUGCCGGACCCCUCCACGUCGGCCAGCCGUGCGCCGCCAGACCCGGCAGCUGAGGUGAUUGUGGUUCCCAUGUUGGCGGACUCUCCAAUAGUUGGAAUGGGGGCCUUGAGGACACAUUUGAUAUGCGUCGUUGAGGUGGUGACUCGUGUUGUCUGGUAUGCACAUCCGGCCUGUGUCUCUUGUGGGCCAUAUGUCUUUGCCUGCCAGAAUCCUCUGGACGCCUCCUUCUGGGAAUGAGCCAUUGUGUGGAUGGUCCUAUACACAAAAAAAAAUUAAUGUUGUGCCAAAUCAUUUGCACUCAUAAUAUGUCCAUAUAUUGUAACUUUACCUGCUUCACCAUCAUCAUCAUCUUGUGCCUGAGUGGUGGCAGGCCGCCCUGUUGUUGUUUUUUUGGACACUGUGAAGAUAUGAAAAGCGUGUUUGUUUUUUUAAUACUGUGUAAACAAAAUUUGAACAUCAUUAUUUUUUGUUUAUUGCUUAAGUAAAUACACAUUUAACAAAAUAAA